rnacentral:rRNA from 1 species
UACGUAGGGGGGCUAGCGUUGUCCGGAAUCAUUGGGCGUAAAGCGCGUGUAGGCGGUCCGGUAAGUCCGCUGUGAAAGUCGAGGGCUCAACCCUCGAAUGCCGGUGGAUACUGUCGGGCUAGAGUACGGAAGAGGCGAGUGGAAUUCCUGGUGUAGCGGUGAAAUGCGCAGAUAUCAGGAGGAACACCAAUUGCGAAGGCAGCUCGCUGGGACGUUACUGACGCUGAGGCGCGAAAGCGUGGGGAGCGAACAGG